ensembl:misc_RNA 7SK 7SK RNA
AGAUGUGAGGGCGAUCUGGCUGCGACAUCUGUCACCCCAUUGAUCACCAGGGUUGAUUCGGCUGAUCUUGCUGGCUAGGCAGGUGUCCCCUUCCUCCCUCACCACUCCAUGUGCGUCCCUCCUGAAGCUGAGCGCUCUUGGAAGAGGAUGGCCUUCCCCGAAUAUAGACUGACCGGUCUUUAGUUGAGGGUAUACGAGUAUCUGCGCUCCCCUGCUAGAACCUCCAAACAAGCUCUCAAAAUGAGAUAAAUCAGAGCUAAGGAGACAUAGGCUAGUGCCAGGCUGAGCUU